rnacentral:lncRNA from 1 species
GCAUCAGCGUCCUCCGACACUUGCUCCAAGGGAACCUCCUCAUCCACAUCUGCUCUCAUCCAAAAGGAUGAUUACCGCAAGAGAAAGCAUACCCAAGCAACAUACAACACACAAAAGCAAGGGUGAGCUAGAUAAACAAACAACAUACAUAUAAUACAAUCAAUUAAUAUCAUCAUGUUUAAUUACAUAUAAAAAGAACAAGCAAGAGAUAUCAAUCAAACCAAACAUCAAAUACUCAACGCGACUCAUCCGGAUUUUGUAUAACUGUCGAACUAUUGAUUGUCUGUGCACUUGCAUAGUUCAACUGGCUCAUCCCCAACAUUAUGCAAGGUAAAUCCCCCCAAUCUGUCUAUGCCUAAACUCUAAGACUAUAGACGAUAACCUCCCUCUACUCUCACCACUUACAUUGUUAUUCUCUAUUUGAGCAUGAACAAUGCUUUGAGAGUAGGGAUAAACAUACCGGUUCAAAGCUCUAUACAGUUAUACAGAACAACAACCACUUCCAAUUUCAUCUCACUCUGAGAUGUCCAAUUCAUACUCAAUCACAUCAUUCAAUUCACAAUCAUAUACUUUCAAAUCACACAAGCCAUGUACAUAAAUAUACAAGUACAGUUAUACAGAACAACAACCACUUCCAAUUUCAUCUCACUCUGAGAUGUCCAAUUCAUACUCAAUCACAUCAUUCAAUUCACAAUCAUAUACUUUCAAAUCACACAAGCCAUGUACAUAAAUAUACAAGUACAGUUAUACAGAACAACAACCACUUCCAAUUUCAUCUCACUCUGAGAUGUCCAAUUCAUACUCAAUCACAUCAUUCAAUUCACAAUCAUAUACUUUCAAAUCACACAAGCCAUGUACAUAAAUAUACAAGACGCUCUUUCAAUCAAACAACAUCAAAUACCCCUACUAAUACACUUCUCACAUAACAUAUUAUUAAAUAUUAUUUAUAAGGAAAUUAGCAUUCAGGUGACCCCUGACAAGCAAACUUAAACCCAUAAUGUCCACUUAAAUGGUAUUUAAUAACCAUACACUAUACUUCUUGAAACAAAAUUAGGUGACAUAACAAUAACAAAAACAACCAAAAUUUGCAUCUUAAAUCCUAAAUAAAACACUUAAAAUUCACCUCCAAGCAUUCAUUCUCAUACGUCCAAUAUUACAUAAAUUAUUACUUAUAAUAUAUACCAAACAGUAAUUGAUAAACUCAUGGAUUAAUGUGAAAAUAAUGAUAGUAUAACCAUUGAAAACUAAAACAAAUUUAUCACCACAAAUUUAAUAUAAUGAAUGGAAUAAUAAUAAAAAAGAAAACAUGCACUAUUGAUUUUUAAAGAGAAAAAGGAAACAUUUGCAACAGUGUAAACCAUUCAUUGAAAUAUAUUGAAUAGAAUAACAUCCCAUAAUAAAAAAAGUCUCGCAUUAUUUAGAAAUAGAGACGAUUAUUUAAAACACUAAAUUAAAUGCAAUGACAUAAAAAAAGGCUGCAUAUACACUUUAUGCUUUUGAUAGGUUCAUAAAAAAAUAUUAUAUAUAUAUAUAUAUAUAUAUAUAUAUAUAUAUAUAUAUAUAUAUAUAUUAACAAGAAUGACAAUUAAAUAGGUAUAUUACUUGGGGAGGUAAAACUACACUGCAACAGGAUUAAAAAAAAUAGUACUGCAUCAUCGCAUACUAAAGGAAACGUGAACCACAUAUUAAUAAAAAAUAAAUAAAAGAUUGCAGUGCAAAUAAAUAAUAAUAAAAAACAGAUUAAGCACCUCAUUGAUGCACCAACACCAUGGAUCAUAAAAUGAGAGUAAAAUAACAAGAAAAAAAUUCAACAAAACAACAUUCACAAUCCCAUACAAUGCACUCAUAGAUGUAUUCAAGAUCAUAUAAAAAUAUCAUUCACAGAACAUUUAAAUUUCCUUACUCGUAUACUCAUUCCUAAAAUUCACAAAAACAUCACCAAACACAACAACAAAACAAUGUUAACUCUCCUUACCUGGAAAACUUCACAGUUUAUUUGAUAGAAACGCUUUAAACAAUGUUACUCACAGCAAAUUUCAAAGGCACCCUAUAAAUCAUGUAAUGGUGAUAGAAUUAGCUUUUUAGGUUAGAAAUUACCACAAAUUUGAAGUAGAACACUUCUAGUGGCAUACAUUCAGUAAAAUAGCAAUGUCCUAGGUUCUAGAAACGGUGGAGAAAAGGGGAAAGAUGACUUACCGAUAGAAACAAGAAAUUGUUCGAUCUGUUACGGAGCUCUCGACGUGAUAAACGUUUGAGCACAACCUAUUCAAAGAUUGAAGGGUUAAAUUUGCUGGGAAUUUAGAGAGAAGGCAGAGAAAAUGUUUUAGGGCAAAAAGGGUUUUCUGUUUUCUAGAGAGAGAAGGGGAAAGUUGGCAAAAUGAGAAGCUGACUUUUGGAGAAAGAC